GCUCGUCUAGUUCAGUCGGUAGAGCACGAGACCCUUAAUCUCAGGGAUGUGGGUUCGAGCCCCACGUUGCGUG
rfam:Danio rerio unplaced genomic contig NA318, GRCz11 reference primary assembly.